UAGUACUUCUGUACUUUUAAAUUAAUUUUGAAUGUGGAACUUUUACUUUUAAUGGAGUAUUUUCAUAAUAUAGUAUUGCUACUUUUACUUCAGUGAAUGAUCUGAAUACCUCUUCCACCACUGGAAAUAACAGUAUCCAGGAAAUUCAAGUGCUCAUUUCAUGGGACCUAUAAAGUGUGAGUGCUUUAUACAGAUGAUAAUCUGAUGUAUUUUUGAGACUGUCUGAUUGAAGUAUAUUUUUUAAAGGACAAUCCAGCUGUAUUUUUGAGAAAUAUGCCACCAUAAAACUAACAUAAAAAGAAGUGUUGAAUGGCAACUGCAUUCAAAAUGUCAGCAAGAUAAAUCAUCAAAUCGGAUUAACACUUUAAAAAAACUGUUCCUCAAAUGUUUUCGACAACUGUGAGAUAAAACCUCACCUCUCCCGUAGUGUCAAUAAUCAGGGUGCCUUGUAGGCCUUCCUGUAACUAACAAAACACAGUCAGAAAAGCUUUCACACCCUAAUGUCAAUAACGAUGCAUAAGAGCAUUUACACAAACACACAACCAUAACUGCCAUCAGCUAAAAUGUAAUGUAAUAAAAUGUAUAAUUGGCUUAGAUAAGUAAAUAUCUGGGAUCGUUGGCAUACUGUAUACUUAACACAUCUUGAAAACAUGUUUAAUCUAGCUAGGUGUGGAAGGUGUAUUAAAAUAAAUAUUUGAGAGGACUGGGUAAGUGUGCAGUGUUUACUUCAAAUACUAUACAUGAGAUGUACUUAUGAUUGUUUUCUUUGGGCCAUUACUCUACACUUUAAAUUUGAUUCAAGUAAAAAGUAAUGGCCAUUUACAGUGCAUUGACAGACAUAUAUUGAUGUAGAGUGCUGCAUCCUUGAGCUUAAAAAAAUCAAGGACAAAAGCUCGCCAAUCAGCCCUCCACCCAUCACUGUCUCCCUGUCUCUUUGUAGUCACAAGUGCAACGGUAUACAUCAAAGAUGUCUCUCUCUUGCUCUGCAGUCACCUCCACGGAGCUUUUCACUCCCUUCAAGGUCUCAUUCACUGUCACUUUUUCUUGCCACCAUGUUUUAAACAUCUUCAUUGUCACAUUUGUUUGGCUACAUUUGAGCUUCCAAUUAAAAUAUACCACAAAUUACCAUAAAUACCACAGUCUGCCUCAAGACUAGUGAGACAAUAAAAAUCAAAGAGCAUAUAACAUCCCCAAAGAACACACACACAUACGGAAAUGAACUCGCAAGGCUGGAGGGAGGGAGAAUUUAGACUGCAGUAAUUACCUCUAAACCUUUUAUCUGCAUCUAAGGAAUCUUAUUAUUCAAUUACUGGGACUGGAGUGCCUACUGUCGGCUACUGGCUCCGUAUGUGUUGGUCCCCAACGCCUCACCCACCCCCUUCCUUUCCUAUAUAGCUCUGAAAAUCACCAGCAUUCUUUAGCAACAUCUUCGCCUCAAGCAUAAGCUAGUGUAACAGCAAGCCUCCCUAACACACACAAAAAGCUUACAAGACCAACUACAUAAAAGGAGUCCACUCCAUUGUUCUUAUUAAAUCCAAUCUGGGAGUGAGCGAAGAGGGUUAGGGUGAGCAAAUGGAUGGCCGAGAGUGUAGGGAGUGAGGAAGAGGGCUACAGAGAUUAAUGCAGUGUUAAUGCAUUACAUUAAAUCCCUGGCAGAGACAAGGUCUCUCAUGGUGUACAAUACACAGGGAGAGAUAAGGGUGGUCUAAAAAGCUUUCCAUCUUUUAUCUUUGUCCCAUUCUGGUUUUAUCUGGAGGUUAAAUAUAGUAUAUUAUAUAUUUUGAUGUAUGUAGAAAGAAAGAGACAGGGACACAGGGAGAGAAAGAACGAGAGGAGGCAUCUGUGAUACUAUCAGAAAUAGCAGCCUGCGACAGGGUUUGGGACAAGUAGGCAGCUUUCAGCAGAGUCCUGUUUCUCGGUAAAACAGACAGAAGGGCCAACUAAUCCUCAACAGUGUAAAUACAGAUCUUCAUGGAGAGAUGAGGUAGCGGUGAAAAGCAAAAACGAAAAGUGCAGUGCUCAUCUUUCCUCACUGUAAGUACAGUGUAGUGGGAGUGGGUGUUGGCCCAGUUAGCAACAGAUGAAUCACCAACCUGUAAAAGCUCUCUGGCUCUGGCUACUGGCCAAACACCUCUAACAUACACAUAUAACACUGCAGUCAGGCCCACUUACACAGAUGAAAAGUACAUGUAACUGAGUACUCCUAUGGAUGGAUAGAGCUAGUUAGAAAAAGACAGUGAAAGGGAGAGAGAGAGAGAGAGAAAGGGUGGGCAAUCUCUUUAGUGCAGCAGGAAAGAGAGAUUGCAUCAUCAUGUCGCUCUAUUAAAGGGUGCGACGUGCUCUGACUGCUGAGUGGCACACAGUGAGUCAGCGAGACCAACCAGUGGGAAACACACACACACACACAGCGAACCUCUUAACAUUUCAAACUAUACCUUAUCGUGAUUGUAAUAAUAGAAUAGCAUCUAUUCUAGGUUCUGAGUCAAGCAACAUCCUUUUAGGGGCUUUUCUGAGCUCAGAGAAAGCUGUGGAUUUCACAGAAUGAAGUCACUCUGCCAGACCAACAGUCUGUGGGCUUAAGACUGGUACAUUCAUGUUUCUACAAAUUACAGGCCAUCUGUUCUGCCAGUUCGGACAGGGAGUCGUCAACGGGCCGAGCGCUGCGUAGAGACAUGGACAGCCUCCGCUUGAUUAUCUUCAUCCUGUCCAUCUUCUCAACCGCACCACCAGGGCCCACAGGCCUGAGGGAGAGGAACAACCACCAACAUCAUCAUCAUCAUCAUCAUCAUCAGCACCACCUGCAUCCCCAUCAUCAUAAUCAUGGCCUUAUAACCAUCAACAGCUAGAUCCACACUGCCCCGUUAAUCUUCAUUGUACAGUGAAACGACUGCAGUGCAGCCUCAACGCAUUUUCUACAGUUCUUUGGGCUCCCGAUGAUUGUGUUUGCUCACGCAGCGUGUGUUCUCAUUGUUAUGUAUCCCAAGUGCAAACAUUGCAGAAUAAAAGACACAGAAUGAGAGAGCAGCCCCAGAGAGACAGAGAGAAAGAGUGAGAAAGAGAGCAACAAAAAAUGCACAAAAACAAACAUGUAAAUGGCUGACUAUGCAGCUCCCCAGAGGUUUCAGACAAGAGCAGCUCUCCCAGAUGAGCUGUGAUUGACAUAUAUUUCACUGGCUCUUCCAUCAUCUACAGUAUUCCAAUACUAAAAUGGCAGACAAAAUUAUCAUACGACACCAGAAUAAAGUUCCUCAUACUCUAUAUACACACCAUCUAUGGCUGAUUCUACAGUAGUCCAACCUAUGCUAGAGGCCACGUGACAACAACCAAACAACUCUGGUGGAAAGCUGGUUUCAAACACUGUAUAUACUUUAUGUAGUUAUAGGAGAGAGAAGCAUCCCAUCCUUAAAAUAAAUGGGGGGGAAAGCACACAAUGUUAUUCCAGCAAAGUGCUCUUCAUGUUCACCGGUGACCCGCCUAUGUGUAUUGUGUAUUUGCAUGUGUAUACCUCUUAACGUCAGUGAGCUUUCAAAGCUCUAUAUUGUUUAGAGUGCCCCUCAGCAGACAUUUAGAAUCUGGUUUAUGUGUCUAUGUACAGUAUACGUGUGUAUUUAUGUGUGUUGAAGACACUUUGUGUGCCGUGUGCCGUGUUCCACUCUGCUUUACUGGCCUGGAGGUAGAGGCAGCUAUGGCAGAGUAUUUCUGUCCCCCUUCCACUUCCUCCUACUUCUAUCUAACCCAGAAGGGCUCAACAGCUGACAUGCACAAGUGCGCACACACGGCACCCACUGCCUUUCUCUUUGUGUCCAACCUUGGAGGUUUCAACAAAAGCCAUUCAUCCUUUCAGGCUCUCAGUCUUUCAGGCCUAUUAGAGACAGCCAUUGCUCUGAGGGAAUUCAAACCCAGCGAUCCUCACUCAGGACGACUGGCUUUUUUUCACUAGAAGAUGCGCUAAGGCGAGUAUCCGUUGCUAACAACAUUGCCUCUGCCAAUUUACAUGAGCCCAGUUGGAUGCGGUUCGCACCUCAGCCGGAGGCGUUUCUCCAAGAUGUAGAAAAAAGUUUAGAAAGGGAACAAAGGAGAGAAAGGAGAGCAACUCACAUUCAUUUCAUAACAUCCGUCACCCAUGGAUUAUCAGUAUGGAACGAAUCUCCCUCCCCCUCUCAUUUGCAUGUUUUCCCAGACUUCACUAGGGAAGAAGCCUGCUCAGACGAGGAGAUUGGGUUCUCCUCAUGCAACCCCGCAGCCGUCAUCCACGAAUUUUCAGGAAUAAAUGACUUGCAUUAUGUUGGAACAGCCAAUAAUAUAAUGCUCUGCUUAUUAUAUGUAUGUGUGUGCAGGCACACAUACAGACACACAAUAAUGACUAAUUUCACAGUCUUCAUCUUAUCUCUGUUGAAUUAACAGUAAUGCAGUGGGAAUCUCAUUACCCAGCUGCUCAUAGAGGGAAAAACUUCAGGGUACCACUGUAUAUUAUAUAUGUAGUUGAGAUUUCCAAUUUUCUUUAUAAUAUGAUGAAAUGAGGUGUAGUCUUGUAAAUAACUACACAAAAUAAGUAAACAACAUUCAUUUUAUGGAAAUAUGUAACUAAUAAUAUACUUAUUUCUAGUUAGUUUGUAAACUUUUGCCAACUUCUUUUAAAGAAUAUUUUAGGAAAUAUCAGAUGUACGCCUUUCAGCAUCAUUGUGCAUUAAUUAUAUCUUCUUGUUUAUCUGUUAAUGUAGGCUAUGUAUUUCUGCACAAAUAAGAACAUUUCUGCCUGACAACUGCAUUAAGGUGGCUUUGAAUUACUUUCUAUCCCAGUUCUGAUGCUAUAUUAAUAUUUCUGUAUGUUUAAAUCUUUGCUGUAAUGCUACAAAAUAAGCUUUGUGUAAAUAAACUAAGGGCUAGGCUGCAUUCAGUAAGAUACUUUUACCAUUAAGGAUAAUGUAAGACAUUUCCAAAUGUAUAAAUGGAUGUGUUGGUCAGCAAAAAAAAAAGUUUCAGGAAGAAUUAAGUGUUAUGAAUGUGCGUUGGAUGUUGAGUCUUGUCUGGUGCAGAUGGACGUGGCAGUGUGAAGAGCUUGGCAGAGGCACAACAGUGAGUGGGACGAGACAUGUGGCUCCAGGCUGCAGCAUGUGCAGGCCACACUCACCAGACACCCGGCAAACCACGAACAACUCUGAUGCAUAACUCCCACUAAACGGAGGGACGCACUCCAGAUGAUCUCACUCCUUCAAAGACACUACAAGCACUUCUGCUUAUUUAGUCUUGUUUGAAGCAAUACAGUGCACUGUUUAUGAAUUCACAAGCAGUAUAACAUGGGCUGUGCAAUAAAACGAAUACAAAAGAGCAAAGGUUAACUGAUACAAAGGUGUAAAGGAAUAAAACCUUCUCCAACUUUGUACUAAGUAAUUUGUGUGUGUCUAUUAACAGCAUGUGUCCACAUGCACAUGGGUUUCCACAUGUGUGUGUGGGUGGUUGCAUGGAUGUGGUAGCAUGGAGGUGAGGUGAACUGACACACCCCUGAGGACAACAGAGAAGGAACACGGUCUGAUUUAUUCAAGACACACACCAUUUGGGUUGCUAGGUUACAGGCCCAGGCUGGAACAGCAGUUUCUGUCUCUGAGGUACAGAGCAGAAGAAAGGAAAGGCGAGAAGCUGAGGAUUCACAAUUCACAUCUCACUAUCUCCCCUUUCUCUGUACUCCCCCCUAUGCAUGCACACACACACACACACACACACACACACACGCUCAUGUCAGCUAUAAAAACUUCCAGCCCUCCAGUGAUCGGGAUGCCACAGUGCUGCAGCAUGCGAUCCUUGCCAGCCUUGUUCUGGGAUUCCUCUGCCAAUUAUGCCUCUUUAGGAGGAAGAAUGAAUGGACCUCAGGACCUGAGUCUGCAGUAUACGCAAACCCUAGCUAGCUGCAAGUUUGGCACACACUUGUACAAACACACAGACAUAGAAAUUACUUUUAUCAGAACAGAAGGAAAAAUUCCAACAGCUCGUGAGCCCAAGAUCUGAUUUUGUUUCAGCCAGAUAUUGUCUUACCUCCUGUACCUCUCUUUCUUUCCUUUUCAUCACAAACAAACAAGCAUUCUUCUGUAAUUCAGUGGCACAUGAAUCAUACGCAUGCAUGCACUCACAUACAAUGUGGCAGAGCGGAAUGGGCACUCAGUGGCACUCCGAACACGGCUUGGCACAGCGGCCUGAGGAUGCAUGAGUAAUGCAUAAAUCUGCCCAACUACAGAAUCCUACACACAUCCACACAAACAUAAACCAACAGAUAACCCAAAAAGUAGUCCAUUCUCCUUGUAAGACCAAUGGCUCCUCCACAGCAUCUCUUCUGUCACUUAACCAAAAUCUCCAGAGUUAGAUGAGAUGACUAAGCAGAAGCACAAGACUGCAAAAAGACGAAAGACAAAAGAUCUGAAAUGCCAUUUUCUGCCCCAAGAGGAGGAAGGAGAAUAGAGUGUCUAUCUCUGUAAUUUUGGGGCGAUCGGGCUCAAAGGGGUCACACAAAGAUUCCUAUGACUUGUUUUCCAAUAUCAAUAUGGCAAAUGUAUGCAAACAUACAUAGAAGUAAUAGAAAAAGGAUACAAAAGUCCUGAAAUUCUUUAUGAUGUGUUUAAAGCCUACAAAACAUAUAACGAGGCACUUACCAAAACUUUAGUCAAAUUGUCAUUAUGGUAAUAAAACAGUUAUAGGCCUACCAUAACAUAUAUAGGCUACAGUAAUAACAGACAGUUGGUAUUGGUCUGGGAUUAUUUGUGAGAUUUUUCUGUCGGGGUGCAUCGCAACGGCAAAGGCAUUGACGGAUGCGCGUGAUUUUCUAUCUGGACAUCCCACACUGAGAUGGGCAUAAAUAAUUUUGCGCUUAAUGCUACCUACUCCCUACACGCUGCUAAGAAAUUGAGUGUUCGGAGCUUUCUAUAGGCAAUACUGUUCAGCCUAUGUUGGUAUUAGUAUACAAGGCUACUUGCCAUCGGCGAGGUUAUCGACAACACUGCAGGACCGCAGGACCUGACUGUCACAUUUGCGGACGAGCGAAGGUCCUGACAAUAUCCCAUGUAACGAGACAUGUCUGCAGGCAGAGCGCACAUAAGUGGGCAGCAAGCAGCCGUGCGAUAAAUAUCACGGGGUUCAAACCAAACACGCGGCGGUUCAUUUCGGGCCUGGCUGGCAGAGAUCCCUCUACCGUCCAGGCCUUUUGCGUUUUCGGUCAGUUCCUCUCGCCCCGUGUUUUCCUGACGUAACUAUCCGGGAGGAGGAGAGUCAGGCAGGGAAAAGAAAAGUUACACAGCCACCCGGCCGGCGCAGAAACUCCAUGGAAAUAGGGCUGGGGUCACCUCUGAGAGCGUCCCGAUGUUAUGAUUGUGGAUUUACAUGGGUCAGGACCCUGAAACCAUUAUAAUAUGUCCAAUAAAUUGAUCUAGGAACUUAACUUUGAGUCUGUCUAUGGUGCCCUUAUCGCUAUUUAUCACUUUUAUCUGCUACGGUGUCACUUUAAUUUUCCUAUUGCGAUUCGGAUUUUUUUCCAGCGAUAUUUGAAGGCACCGUCCCGUCCGGUGAUGAUCAGCCAUAUCGCUGCUGCUGUGUGGAUCCCAAGUGGAAGCAGUGGCGUGAUCCCGGAAAACACCGCAAGGGGUGUGUG